ensembl:lncRNA
CCCCCGUCUUAAUAUUAAUGCUUUGCUAGAGGGAAAACAACUUUAGCUUGACAAUAGCUAGGCCUCCAGUAUCCUGUGAAUCUUUUUCAGCACAGGAAAAUCUCUUUGGAAAGUUCCCUUUUGACCUUACCUCCCCAACUCUAUAGUACAUAGCUAGUCAUUCCUCACAACCCCAGUGCAGCUCUUUUUGCCCAAGGGUCCUCCUGCCCGUGAGCUUUAACAAAAUCACCUUUUUUGCACCAAAGACAUCUUCAAGAAUUCUUUCUUGGCCGUCAGCUCCGAACCCAUCAUCACCCCCAAAACGUCAUCAUAACCAUCACCGCUGCUAUUCCGCGUGGUCUGGGGAGCAGAAUCAACCGUCUCUCCCGGGAACUUGCUGGAAAUGCAGAACCUUGGUCCUACACCUUCCAGAACGGAAUCUGCAUUUCAACAGGAUCCUCCAGGGUGAUUCCUGAGCACACUUAAGUUAGAGAAGCUCUAAGGUGACUCCUGGGAUCAGCUACAUAUGAGACUCUCCUGGGUAGACCGAACCCCUGGAUGAAGGACUGCAGAGUUUCUGGGGCUGCCGCUCAGGCAUCAGGAUUUUUUCAAAGUUCCCCCAAGCCCUUGCGUGACGCGUCCCCCUUUCCAGGGAGGUCAGGCUGACUCCUGCAGGAAGGAGGGGGGAGGGGAGGGGGAGGGGGGACUGGGCUCCCGGCUCCGGAGGCUCUGCAGCUUUAAGAAGGGGAGCUGGCUGCCAGCCACGGAGGCCCCCGGGAGGCCGCCUGCCAUCUUGCACGGGCCACGUGAGCACAGGCUGCAGGCUGCGACAGUCAGCGCUGGGCCUUGCCUGGGCUUGCAGACCCGAGCCCCGCAGGCCGGCCCCAGCGGCGGUGGCGCCGGCAAGCCGAAGAAAGGGGACCUUUAUGCCUUUUGGGGGAAGCACACAUUCUGCGAGGCCGUGGAAACAAAGAGAGGAACUGUUUGUAGCCCUAGUCCAGACGUCCCAAACAAACAGAAGCCCUGAACAAGCCCUGGGAGGAGGAGCCACUUCAGAGGAGCUCCCUCUGGCUGGAAAUUUUACACCUGCAGCAAGUAAGUACAGACUUCCUGGAGCCUCAGGCCACAUCACCCCAAGAUGAUGCUGAUGCUGAUAAUUCCGCUGACGCGUUGAAACCUCCUUCUAGAGCAUGUUAACCUUAAAGAGAAAACUGCCGGCCAUUUCACCAGCAAAAACGGGUUUAUUUGGAAAUAGCAGAGAAUUGCAAUCCCAGGACAUGCGGGCUGUGGCAAAACUACAGGCAAGGCCAGAGGCAAGUCCGGGGAGCCAAGGGGAGGUAGGUAGCUCCUUUCCAGAGGGAAGGGGGAAGAUGGGAGAGCUGUUAUAAUCCGGAAGUCCAUUGGAGUAAACUGGGAGUUCGAAGGGUAGCGCCUCCUGAUUGGCUGAGCUGUGACUGUCAUUGGCGGGGCUGUUGCCAGGAGAGGAGGAGACCUUUCCUCCUCCUGCUGGGGCAGUACACUAGUAGCUAAAGUAGUAUUGGACUUGCUAAGGUGUAGGUCUUCCUGUUGGGGCUGUGAGCGCUCCCCCUGCUGGCCUCCCUCCUCCGUUUUAAACUCAACCAUAACCUGAACUAACCUGGUUUCCUUUCAUUAGUUUUCACAAGAAGUCAACAUACAGGAUUCCUUUCUGAAUGCAAUUUCCUGGAGCUUUGACGCCAUCUCUGUAUUUAAAAAUCUGCCGUAUUUUUUUUUCAUCCACCAAAAAUCUCUGUAAGGCACUGUACCUGGAGUAGCGGGGUGGGGUGGUGGGGCAGGGAAUAUAAAGAAGAAAACAUAAAAUCUGUUCCUUCUAGGCACCUAAAUCUAAACAACAGAAGUCACACAUAGACAGAAAAUCUGGCCUAUUCUUUCAUUUGUGAUUGCACGUGGCAUGCAGUCGCUUGUUCAUCCGAGCAUAAGUAUUUUUGGUGUGUGCUAUGUGCUUUGGCUGUCGUAACACCGCGGGAGGCCCAAGAUGUGAACCUGCUCUCUGGGUACUUGGGGUCUCCCCGGGAAAGAGGAAGGGGGUUCAGAGUCCAGUAAAACAUCAGGCCGAAGUCAGUGGCUCAAAGAAUGCUCUGGGGGCAAGGAGACCCGGCAACCAGUCGGCGUGAGCC